rnacentral:rRNA from 1 species
UGGGGAAUCUUGCACAAUGGAGGCAACUCUGAUGCAGCGACGCCGCGUGAGCGAUGAAGCCCUUCGGGGUGUAAAGCUCUUUCGGCAGGGACGAUAAUGACGGUACCUGAAGAAGAAGCUGCGGCUAACUACGUGCCAGCAGCCGCGGUAAUACGUAGGCAGCGAGCGUUGUUCGGAAUUACUGGGCGUAAAGAGUGUGUAGGCGGUGCUCUAAGUUCGGUGUGAAAUCUCCCGGCUCAACUGGGAGGGUGCGCCGGAAACUGGAGUGCUUGAGCGUGGGAGAGGAAAGCGGAAUUCCUGGUGUAGCGGUGAAAUGCGUAGAUAUCAGGAGGAACACCUGCGGUGUAGACGGCUUUCUGGACCAUAGCUGACGCUGAGACACGAAAGCGUGGGUAGCAAACAG